ACCCCUCUUGGCCUUUGCUAGGGCAGACCUAGGUGCGCCGCCGCUGCUCUCGUCGUGCGCGCGCGCGCGCGAGAGAGAGAGAGAGAGAGAGAGAGAGAGAUGAUGGUGGCAACGGCGGACCGGAGCGGCUCAUCUUCACCCAUGCCGCAACACCCCAGCAGCUUCACCCAUCGGCGAUGCGUCCGCCCCGCUCCCAUCCUCACUGCCCCCAGCACGUCGCCGCCUUAACCCUGCUGCUGCGCCCACAUGGCCCCGACUAGACAGCGGUUUCCUAUUCUCCACACGGAUCCAGCCACGACCGCGGGAUUCGGCAUGGUGACCACACCACAUCCUCGGCGGCAACCUGGCCCUCCCCAAGAUGCUUCACUGGAGGGCGGCGAACUCCCUCCUGCUCCCUCUGCGCUCGUGUCGGAAACGAAUCGGAUCGAAGGCAGAGCACAUAAUCUACCGAGUGACCAAAUGAUUCAGAUAGACAUUGUCAGGAUUUAUGAGCUAAACUUAUGACCUGCAUGAAAAAUAAUUGAAAGGAAUAGUAGUUCCUUCGCCUUCGGCCGGAGCAUUUGUGCAGCCUUUUCUAUUUGGCAUCCUCCCUCUAGGUGGAAUGUGCGUCUCUCCUGGCAGCCGAUGGCCAUCGCGUCUGGGCAAUUAGAGCAUAGCAAUGUCACCUGCCAUUCACCCCUGUCCGCGUCCUGUGAGGCAAAUACUGAUGGUUGAUGAAAAUGGUACGCAAGCUGGUCCUGUGCAUACGGAACUUUUGCAUAUGUUUCUUGGGUGGUCCAUUCUAAUGUGAGUACUAUUUUUCUAUUUUUAAAAUUUAAAGUAUGAUGGCGAACUGAAUGCUGCAUUGAGUGAAUCAUCACAGUAGAACUGGGUGUUGAAUGUUUUUAGUUUCUCUUGACAGAACUGGGUGUUGGGUGUUUUAGUUUCGCUCGACAGAGUUUCGCCUUAGCAUUUUCAAGUUAAUCUAAUGUAUGUUCCUGUAAUUAGAGUAUUGAUCAGCUCUACCAUCCAUGGCACUCGAAUAUGUUCACUCUUUUAAAUGAUGCUAGGCAGAGUUUUUUCCUUUUCUGUACGUAGUGUAAUUGCUCAUGUUAUGUCCUGUGAGCUUUAUGGGCAAAACACAAUUGACCACCUUACGGGAUGACCCUUUUUCUGUGGUCUUGUGUGAACAGGAAACAUAAUAUCAAGGAACAUAUAUAGAUUUCCCAAAAUAGCCCCAAUUCAAGUGCGAUGUUAGAUCAUUACUUUCUCUGGUCUUUUUUCGAGUCAUCUUCGGGUUUUGGAUUGCUUGGUCAGCUGGUUGUUAGUAUAAUCGGGCACCGCCAUUCACUGAUAAUACCCCAAGAGUAUUUCCUUCUGGACAUGGGGUGAAAACUGUAACCGGGUCAGAGGAAUUGCCACCUUUUUCAAGUUGAUUCUACAGGUAAGGGAACAAAGCUUGGUUUACUUGUGCCAUAGGAAUAUAUUUAAUGAUAUUUUGUCACAUGUCUUUAUUGUCAGCUAUUUAAUGAUAUAAUGAUAUAUGUUUAGAGGAAUAGCAUUGUGAAACGUGGUACUACAGGUAAGGGAACAAUCCAUAGAUGCUAUUUAAUGAUAUAUGUUUUUUGUCACAUGUCGUUAUUGUCAGCUAACCACGUUUCAUUGAUCUUAGGACUUGGUAAAAAAUAAAGUUGGAAGUAGUAUAUUUUUUUGAUGAAUCAUGAUAUGAAUUCAUCUUUGAUCAUACACUUUUGUUAGUUUGAAUCAACCAAAAAUAAAGUGGCCUAGCUAAAUGCAGACUGCCAAGCAUUCUUAAAUUCCUUAAUCUAGCCAUGUAUCACUAGGUUUUUCAAGUAUCCUGCAUUAAGGUAGUUUUUUAUGCGAUUAUAUAAAUUUUCUCUUACUUUUUUUAAAUUUAUGUGCUUACAUUAUUUUUCCAAUUAUUCUUUUUUAUUUUAUGUAGCAUCACUGAAACUUCACUAUCUGAACUGAUCGAGUUGGAGUAUGGUCUUACUACAAGUGUUAUAGUCUUGUGAUGUACUGUUGCAGUACAUUUCCAUAUGAUGAUUUCAUUUCCAUUACUAAUGCCGACUUGUUUUAGCAUGGUCAUGUUCACACAUUAGAUCUCAAUACUGUCUUCGAAUUCGAAUGGAAAUUAUUUUUUUCAGACUUCAUGCUGCAAAUUCUAAUCUGAAUAUUGUAACAAAAGAAACAAAACUUCUCUUUACCUUGAAUGACAUACUAGGUAUCAACUUGUAUGCGAUCUACCUUCGAGCAAACAAGAUAGAUAGACUUAUGAUGGUCGUUUUUGAUAGAAUUGUUGCUGAUGCAUGAUUGAGGUGCUGAUGAUAGUUGUAGUGAAGAAUGACAGAGAGCUGCUUGGAGGUGGUUGCUAGAGCACAGUGCUAUUACGCCGUGGAGAACUACAAAAUUGAUGUUAAGUUUCUUUAUAUUUGGUGUUUUUGUUUCACUAAAGCUUGUAUCAAGCAAUG